rnacentral:lncRNA from 1 species
CUUUCAACAGAAAACAGUGUGUGCAAUCUCCAAGAUACCUUCUUUACCCCUUCUGUAAAAUCAAUACCCAUCAUCAUCAAAAAAACAUAAUUCAAAAGGGAUUCCAUCAACUCUGCGUACUUGUUUUCCUCACUGUUCUUUUUCUUAGCAAGUGAAGCUGUGUAAUUGUUCAAAUCAAACCUUUCAACGAAGAAUUAGAACUCAAAUUCUGGUGGGGGGUAACUGGAGCAACUCCUUGAACAGUAGCAUUUGUGGUUUGAUUUGUGACCCUAGAUGGUUCUAUUUUUACAAUUUGAGUGUUGUUUGUGGCUGGAAUAGUAACUGCAUCUUGUGAUGAAUUUUUGUGUGCACUUGUGUUGUUGGGAAAUGAAGAUUGAGAUUGAGAUUGAGAAGUUGCAUUGGUAGAUCUAGUUGUGGAAGUGUUGUUUUACCACAUGUAACAGUACCUUUGGUGUAAUUUGGAUAUGGACAUGGGUUCAUUUUAGGGUUUUCGGAAUUGGGUUGAUUUUGGUCAAAGUUGACCAAAAAGUCAACUGUUGACCAAAGUCAACAGUUGGUCCAAAAGUGUCAAUUUUUUUUGUAUUUUCUUGUGGAAUCAAAUGUAAUGGUUUAGAAUGGUGUGAAAUGAAUUGAAAUGGUUUGAAAAUUGAUUUGAAA